GUCAUCAAGGUCAUCCUGAUGAUCAGAUACAGAAGUCUUCAGCAUGGCGGGAAAAUGGAAAAUACCCAGCCUAAGGCUACCAAGAUUUUUCAGCACAGGAAAGAAAGCCAUGUGGAUAGUUGAGAUCUUCUAUGAAGAAAGAAAGGAAAAGAGAAG